UUCCGGUUGAUCCUGCCGGAGGCGACCGCUUUGGGAGUUCGAUUAAGCCAUGCGAGUCGUGAGUCUUAGGGACUCGGCAUACUGCUCAGUAACACGUGGAUAACCUGCCCUAUCGUCUGGAAUAACCUCGGGAAACUGAGAAUAAGGCCGGAUAGUUCACAAUGCCUGGAACGGUUUGUGAAUCAAGGUAGGAUGGGUCUGCGGCGUAUCAGGUUGUAGGGGGUGUAAAGGACCCCCUAGCCUUCGACGCGUACGGGUGUUGAGAGACAUAGCCCGGAGAUGGAUUCUGAGACACGAAUCCAGACCCUACGGGGUGCAGCAGGCGCGAAAACUUGGCAAUGCGAGAAAUCGUGACCAGGGAACUCCAAGUGCAUCGGGUAAGACCGAUGCUUUUCUUGACUCUAAAUAGGUCUUGGAAUAAGGGGUGGGUAAGGACGGUGCCAGCCGCCGCGGUAAUACCGGCGCCUCAAGUGGUAGUCGCUUUUAUUGGGCCUAAAACGUCCGUAGCCGGUCUGAUACAUUCGUGGGUAAAUCAACCAGCUCAACUGGUUGAGUUCUGCGAGGACGGUCAGACUUGGGACCGGGAGAGGUGUGGGGUACGCUCAGGGUAGGGGUAAAAUCCUGUCAUCCUGAGCGGACCACUGUUGCGAAGGCGCCACACUAGAACGGAUCCGACGGUCAGGGACGAAGCCUAGGGGCACGAACCGGAUUAGAUACCCGGGUAGUCCUAGGUGUAAACGCUGUGGACUUGAUGUUGGGGGUGCUCCGAGCACUCUCAGUGUCGAAGCGAAGGUGAUAAGUCCACUGCCUGGGAAGUACGGUCGCAAGGCUGAAACUUAAAGGAAUUGGCGGGGGAGCACCGCAACCUGAGGAUUGUGCGGUUUAAUUGGAUUCAACGCCGGA
rnacentral:rRNA from 1 species